UGGAUCACGAUGAACGCUGGAGGUCUGCUUAACACAUGCAAGUCGAACGCAAGCUUCGAGGUUGAAUGGCGGGAUAGGUGAGUAACGCGUGAUAAUCUGCCUUGGGUGUCCGGACAACCACUGGAUACCGUGGCUAAUACCGUAUAACCCUAUGGCGUAACAAAUUCAUUGUCCCAGGAUCGAGCUCGCGUAUGAUUAUCUAAUCUGUGAGCGUAAAAGCUCACCAUUGCAGCGACUCAGUAGCUGGUCUGAGAGGACGAUCAGCCACUCGUGGGACUGAUACACGGCCCAGAACUCCUAGCGGGAGGCAGCUGUGGGGAAUUUCCCAGCUUGCGUGCCGAAAGCCUGACCGGAGCAAGACCGCGUGAUGCGAGGAAGGCUCUUGGGUUGUAAACCUCUUUUCUCAGGGAAGAAGCUCUGACGGUACCUGAGGAAUCAGCCUCGGCGUAACUCCGAGCCGAGCAGCCGCGGUAAUACUGAGGAGGCAAGCGUCAUCCGGAAUUAUUGGGAGUAAAGCGUCCGUAGGUGGCGAUUCAAGUGCUGCCUGUCCAUAAGUCACGGGGCUUAAAUCCGUUAAGGCACUGGAAACUGAGAUAGCUAGAGUGCCGUAGGGGUAGAGGGAAUUCCCGG
rnacentral:rRNA from 1 species